rnacentral:rRNA from 1 species
AUUGAACGCUGGCGGCAGGCCUAACACAUGCAAGUCGAACGAGUGGCGGACGGUUGAGUAAUUUCUGUGAAACUGCCUGCUUGAGGGUGAUAACUCCUGGAAACGGUAGCUAAUACCGCAUACCAUCGGAUGUGCCCAGAUGGGAUUAGCUAGUAGGGGGGGUAAAGGCUCACCUAGGCGACGAUCCCUAGCUGGUCUGAGAGGAUGACCAGCCACACUGGAACUGUGACACGGUCCAGACUCCGACGGGAGGCAGCAGUGGGGAAUAUGGCACAAUGGGAGCAAGCCUGAUGCAGCCAUGCCGCGUGUAUGAAGAAGGCCUGCGGGGUGUAAAGUACGUUCAGCGGGGAGGCGUUACCAGCAGAAGAAGCACAGGCUAACUCAGUGACAGCAGCCGCGGUAAUUC